UACAUGGGGUGCAAACGUUGCUCGGAAUUAUUGGGCGUAAAGCGCACGUAGGCGGUUUGUUAAGUCGGAUGUGAAAUCCCUCGGCUCAACUGAGGAAGUGCAUCCGAAACUGGCAAGCUUGAGUACGAAAGAGGGUCGCGGAAUUCCCGGUGUAGAGGUGAAAUUCGUAGAUAUCGGGAGGAACACCAGUGGCGAAGGCGGCGAUCUGGGCAGACACUGACGCUGAGGUGCGAAAGCGUGGGGAGCAAACAGG
rnacentral:rRNA from 1 species